rnacentral:rRNA from 1 species
UCCUGCCCAGCGCUGAAUCACUCGGUCUUAGGCCGCUGUGAUCUGUAGCGUAUAGGUGUGAUCUUCUAGUAUGCUGCUAGUCCGAAGUCCCUCUGAUAGGGGCCACAGUCCUGAGAGUGUGCGAGACCUGUACGGACGGCGGUGUUACUGGUAUCUUCAUUCCUUGGAGUCGGGUUGCUUGAAAGUGCAGCCUAAAGUUGGUGAUAAACUUCAUCAAUUGCUAAAUAUAGAUGCGAAUUCGAUAGCAAACAAGUACCGUGAGGGAAAGUUGCAAAGAACUUUGAAGAGAGAGUUCAAGAGAACGUGAAAUCCUGCUGGUUGAAGCGGAGAGAGUUGACGUAGCUCGGUGGGCUAAGCAUUACUCCUGGUGGGUUCGUUCUGCAAGGAUUGUGUGGCGUCUGCUUAUAGCUGCGCUGGCAGCGUUGUCCGAGUUCUCUGACUCGUCUAGUGUUGCCCACUUCGGUGGUGUCUUGCUGGCGGUGAGGUUUACCGUGUUAACGUAUAGCUUGCCUUACGGCGAGUGCCAGUGUGAAGGUCAGCCACCUUUCCGUCCCGUCUUGAAACACGGACCGAGGAGUGUAACUUAUACGCGAGUCAGAGGGUGGACCACCCAACGGCGCAAUGAAAGUAAAGGUCGGUUUACCGGCUGACAUGGGAUCCGUUCGUUAGAGCGGCGCUCCAUGGCCCUGUCUUGAGAGCG